CAAAGCCAUUUCCCAUCCCUGUACAGGCAACUGUCAAUAAGCAAAGUGACAGUCACAUCUCCUGCAUGUUAAUCCUAAUGGACAGGAGAUGUUUGCAAGAGAAUAAAAAGCCCCUUCGCCCCUCCAAAGCCACACAAUAAAAUCAUUUUUUAAAAAAAAUUAAAGGAAAAAGUCUUUUUCGUCGACCCUGUUUGGAAGGAUCAUUUAAAAAUACAGCUGUCUGCAAUAAGGAUUGGAGAGGGAAUGAAGGGGGGGAGAGAAGAGGGUUUACCCACCAACACCCUGGCAAACAAGGCUGCUUUGCAUCUGUUGUACCUGUUCCUGUUGCCUUCCUUGCCUCUUGGAAUCGUGACAAGAGAGAAAAGUCGCCUCUGGUGGGUUGCUCAAAGCUGUGGGUCUGCAGCCCUGUGCAGGAAGUUGGCACUGAUCCCAGGCAGCGCAAAAGGCACCCCCAGAUUGCAGUGACGUCAUUUUCUCCUCUCUUCCAAGUUUCACAAAGUUGUGAACUUCCAAGUCUUCUAUAUGGAGAAAGAUUUAUUUUGAAAUAUUCUUGGGCAUCAGGGUUGCAGACAAAAUCUUCCAGUAACAUGUACAAAUCUCACCCAUUGGGGUAAGAACAGAAGCCAUUUUACCUAACAUUAUAGCUAUGUUUCUUCCUACCAGACAGUCCCAUACUCUCCUAUCAACAAGGAAAAUAGGAUCCUUAAUAAGAUGCUUUUAAUCCUGUAACAAAACCUGGCAAUUUCUCACGUUCUCUCCCUCCCAACCCACGACCUUUAUAUGUGGGCCUCUUGUAUUCUAUCCAAACUGCUGAGAAUUGAUUUCUCCAGCUUAAAAGAAAUGUAGCGAAGCUUUACGAGCACGUUUCCCUGGCCAAAUUAACUGGACUGAGUGAUGUCCCUUGGUGACUAAUGGCCGCUGUUACAGCUCAGCAGCCUUUGGAACCAAGCACAGCCCUCUAGAGGCAAAUCUACCAAUUCCGGGCUAAAAGAAUCCAUGUCCAAAACAGGAUAACACCAGGGAUAUUUCUGCACUAGGAUGAUUUUAGACUCUAAACCAUAUUGAGUAUACUGGACAAAAAAGCAACAUGUAAAUGAAUACAAUAUUCACGUCUCUAUUUGAAAAAGAAAUGGUCAGCUUCCUUAAUCCUAUUCCUUCCUUGUCUCUGUGAGGGCAAACAUCUUUUUUAUUUGUGUUCUCCUGUUAUGAUUCCUUAAGGUAGAUUUCAUUGUCAUGAAAAUAUAACCAAUCAUACUACAUGGUUGAUGUUGUGGCACUGUGAAUAAAUUGUGAUGCCAGCAACAAAAGCCACCAGUCUUUUUUUGGCUUGCAAUGUGCCCGUUUUUUAAACUAGAAUGGGUUUUUUGGCUAGAUAUAGAGAUGGAUCAUGAUUUAAUAAACAUCAGCUGGCAGGAAGAGUAUGGUAAGGUUACUAUUGUUAAAAGAAAGAGAUGCCCACAAUUACAAAUAAGUACUGCAUCCUGUCCACAUCAAUCUUGGGGAGACAGAAAAAAAUGUGCACUAAAUACAUCCACUUCUUUAUGAUCUGUUCUGAGAUUUUAUUUAAAAGAAUGACUUGACCUUUGAAGUACAUAAUGGAAAUGGUUCAAAGCAACUUGGGCUCUGCCAUGCCAAACAGCUUUGUAGCUAAUCUGAAGAAUUUGAAGAUAAUCUGGAAAUAUUCUAAAUAUUUCUUCAUCUAAUCUGAAUAUUGUAUUAAUAUGUUUUAUUACUUCAAAUAAUGGGCUCCCUUUUCUGUAGAGCAUUAUAAAGAAAAGCAAUAUAAAAUUUCCUGUAGAAGUAAAACUAAAUAGAUCAGAAUCUUUUUACAAUUUGUUUUAAAAUGAUUUCACAACUCCUGUGAAAUUUGUAAGAUUAGGGAAGAUGCUGGCAAUUAGAAAACCUGAGCAAAAAAACCCCCUGUUUUGGGGUUAUUUGUUUUUGCUGCAGAAUGGCAUUUUAUUUUGUUCUCCAUUAUUUUUGCAUAAUAAAACAAGAAGCAAUUGCUGAUAGGGAUGCAAAUUUUUUUCGUAAUGAAUGCAAACCUGAACCGAAUGAAAAUCAUUUGCUUCAGUCUUCAUUUGUUAAGAAACAAAUGCUAUUAUUUGGAGUUUUUUGUUGUCUCAUUCAUACCUAUUCAUCACAGAUUCUGGGGCAGAAUGGGGCUUAUGCUUCUCUAGUGAAAGCAGCUGCCUUUGGCAGUCACCAUUUUAUUUUUUUUACAAUGCCUAAGAUAUUUUACAUCAUCCAAAGGCAUCCUGUGGUUAUAAAAAAAGUCCAUCAAUUUCACAGCAUGAAAAAUUCUAAAGGAUUCAGGGGGAAAAAAAUCAAAUGGUGAUUAGAAAAAUCAGAUCAGAGAAAAAAAUUAUAAAAGCAAUCCAACCAUCAGAGCUAUAAAAGCAAACACAUUUGAAAUGAUUGAAUAACAAAAGAGCUACGGUUUAUUUUGUUAGUUAGUAUGCUUAUAGGCUGCUCCAAUUAUUUAACUCUGGACGGCAUACAACUCCCAAAACAUGUAAUCUGGGAUUGAAAACAAAUCAUAGAAUGUAAUACAUGUAAAACUGGGACUCAUUUUAGCACAAUAAAACCAAUUCCUAACUUGGAAGGAUAGUAAUAAUAAUACAAUUAAAAUAAAGCCAGAUCGAAGCCAUUAGCUGGAAAUGGUUAGAACACAAAUGUCAUAGAUGAAAGUCAUCCCUCUUGACCUUCAUCAGAAAAGAUUUUUUCUGCAAAAUUCUUUUCGUACUAUGCUUAAAUCUUGCUAAAUCUCACUCCUAUGCUCUGUCUUAUUUUAAUAUACUAUUACUAUAUUAUUGAAGUUAUCUAGGUAGUUUGUGUCAAUCAGUUAUUACCUAAGAUCUGAAAAGUUGUUUUUCCUCAUUCUAGAACUGCUCUAGAACUUUGUGAUAUUGUCCUGACUGAUGGAUUCAGAGUCCAGACAUCACAGGGUUCAUUCCAAAAUACCUCCCUCCUUUGGAAGGUUUAUUCUUUUUAUACAGUUUUUACAAGCAAAGCAAUGAGCAUAUAGCAACAGCAUUAUAAUUGGCUUAUUCUCCUUGUCAAUCUCUAAGAGCAUCCCACCCAGGGUAGAAUCUCACAUAACUCAUUAGUUCCUGAUACUUCCUGUUCUUGUUAAUUAGGUGAGCUCAUAGGUUAAGAGGUAACCAGCCACUGAGAUCAUGGCAGUGUGCUGCACAUGUCUUUACAUGACCUUUCCUCUAUUCCUACAUCUGACAAAGAGUUCAUUGCCCUGGAGAUUCUUGUUCAAACUAAACACACUCAGAUUGUUGGGGGCAAUAUGCUGACUCUAUAAGCCGCUUAGAGAGGGCUGUAAAGGCACUAUGAAGCGGUAUAUAAGUCUUAAGUGCUAUUGCUAUUGCUAGUGAGUCUUUUACAAUAAGGAAUAGGAAGUCCACUCUGUAACUAGGAGAAUGCCCAACGAGAAUAAUGAAAAAAGUGGAGAUCACGAUCAAAUGAAAGAACCGCUUUUCAUUGAAAAGGUGAACAACUGCUCCCUCUUUUCUUUGCAUACUGGAGAGACCCAUUAAGGCAGUGGUCCCACUCUUUCUGGCUCCCUGGACUGGCAGUGGUGGUGUGGAGAGGGGAUGGUUUUGUUCAUGUGCCCACUGCUUGCACAAAUGGAGCUUUGCCCACUUGCAUAGCCUGGUUCCAAACAGGCCAUGGCCCUAUACUGUGCCAUGGACCGGGGGUUGGGGACCCCUGAAUUAAGGGACUCAGUAGCCUAUUCGAGUCUAGGAUGUUCGCCUGACAAAAAUCAGUCAGCCAUCUGGUGAUGUUUCCCUAACAUACCAGCUGGAAGAGCAUGUCCUACCACAUAUUUCUGCUGUUCCUAUAAGACACUUUUCCAAGUUUCCAUGCUUAGCAAAUGGUUUCAAUCCUGCAAAUGCCCCACACUAUCCAACAAUCUCAAAGUUCCUCUGACAGGAUAGACUAGAAACAAUUACCAGGCACUCAAGGAUCCAAAAUGUGGGAAGGAGAGCUGACGUCGAUGUCACGACAUGCGAUCUUGGUGCUCCGAGAUUGCAGUCGAAUUUCUGCCUCUGGAUGGUCCAUUCAGACCUAAACCAUCCCAUAGAGAUGGUGAUUGAGAAGGGCACCUCCUGCUGAUCUCAGGGACACUGCA